CUGGAAAACACAUUACAUCAUUGGUUAUAAUCUUCCCAGCUAUGAAUAUCUCUACAAUCUCGGAGAUCAGUAUGCCCUGAAAAUUCGUCUGGUCGAUCAUGUCUAUGAUGACCAGGUCAUUGACCAACUAACUGUGAAACUGAUCCUUCCUGAAGGAGCCAGAAAUAUCCACGUGGACACUCCCUACCCCCUCACACGCAGUCAGGACGAGCUGCAUUACACUUACCUGGACACCUUCGGCAGACCUGUGCUGGUGGCCACCAAGAGCAAUCUGGUGGAGCAGCACAUUCAGGAUGUUGUGGUAAGCUAAGGCUGGCA